GACGAACGCUGGCGGCGUGCCUAAUACAUGCAAGUAGAACGCUGAAGGAGGAGCUUGCUUCUCUGGAUGAGUUGCGAACGGGUGAGUAACGCGUAGGUAACCUGCCUGGUAGCGGGGGAUAACUAUUGGAAACGAUAGCUAAUACCGCAUAAUAGUGGAUGUCGCAUGACAUUUGCUUAAAAGGUGCAAUUGCAUCACUACCAGAUGGACCUGCGUUGUAUUAGCUAGUUGGUGAGGUAACGGCUCACCAAGGCAACGAUACAUAGCCGACCUGAGAGGGUGAUCGGCCACACUGGGACUGAGACACGGCCCAGACUCCUACGGGAGGCAGCAGUAGGGAAUCUUCGGCAAUGGACGGAAGUCUGACCGAGCAACGCCGCGUGAGUGAAGAAGGUUUUCGGAUCGUAAAGCUCUGUUGUAAGAGAAGAACGAGUGUGAGAGUGGAAAGUUCACACUGUGACGGUAUCUUACCAGAAAGGGACGGCUAACUACGUG
rnacentral:rRNA from 1 species